GGAACAUAGAAACACUAGGAAAACCAAGGUGAAAACUGACAAAUCAUGACAACCUGGUAGAGAAAUUAUACACAGGUAGUCAUCAAAUGACGUCACACAGUGACAGGUACCACGCCCCUUUAGGGCGGGAUAUCUGUAUAUGGUCAACUUCCGGUCAUUCCUUCCUGUAGGAUGUCCAUAUAUGGUCAACAUCUGUUUCGUGACUUCCUCUUUUGAUUUACCGUAACUAUCCCCCUCCCUCAUCCCCCUUGACUUCCAGUAACCCAUAACCCACCCUUUCCCCCCUCGAUUUACCGUAACCCUAGCCCCCCUCUUACCCCCCUCGAAUUACUGUAAGCCUUGACCACAACAUCUUGUUUUUUGUCCAGAUGUCUUUAUUUCAAAAGAGUUUGAGCUGCCAUGAAGUCUAUUCUGCUGACCGCAACAUCCUGUUUUUCAGCAGGUGUCCACACAUGCCAUCUGUCUGUUCCCCCUCCUUCUCCUCAACCCCCUCUAUUUACCGUAACUCUAGCCCCCUCUUACCCCCCUCGAAUUACUGUAAGCCUUGACCACAACAUCUUGUUUUUGUCCAGAUGUUUUAAUUGCAAAAGAGUUUGAGGUGCCAUGAAGUCUAUUCUGCUGACCACAACGUCCUGUUUUUCAACAGGUGUCCACACAUGCCAUCUGUCUGCUCACCCUCCCUCUCAGGGUUAGUGACUUCCUGCCAGAUGGUGAAACUUAUUGUCCAAUCAGUGGAUAGGGUUAGACUUUAGACCUAACCCUCAGCCAAUCAGAUCAUGUUUAAAGCAUUAAUUCCUGCCCCUCCUCGGUUCUCGAAGCGUUUAAAAGAACGUGUCUCGUUCAUUCCAUACCACCGUCGGCGACAAGGCAUCUUCAGCGUUCCUGACCCGUCACGACUUCCAUCAGCGCAGACAAGACCCCCCCGGCACGACCGCCCCUGCAGCUGAAGUAAAUAUUUAAAGGUUCGUAUUUAUUUAUUUAAUUCUGUUUAAAGUAUUUAUAUUGUUUUUUAAUUGCACUCUGUCAACAGCGAGAAGAGCCGUCACUCUGUUCAACCAGCAGCGUUACGCAGCGCUAAACUUAAAGUAAAUUUAAAGCGAGAAGAACCGUCACUGUUCCACCAACAGCUAAACUUAAAGUAAAUUUAAAGCGAGAAGAACCGUCACUCUGUUCCAUCAACAGCCAAACUUAAAGCAGCUUUGCACGUGAGAUAGAAGCGGAGUUCUCCAUUUUUUUGUUGCGCAAAAACUAUCAGG